rnacentral:rRNA from 1 species
UACGGGGGGAGCAAGCGUUGUUCGGAUUUACUGGGCGUAAAGGGCGCGUAGGCGGUCAGCACAAGUCAGUUGUGAAAUCUCCGGGCUUAACUCGGAAAGGUCAACUGAUACUGUGCGACUAGAGUGCGGAAGGGGCAACUGGAAUUCUCGGUGUAGCGGUGAAAUGCGUAGAUAUCGAGAGGAACACCGAUGGCGAAGGCAGGUCUCUGGGCAUUAACUGACGCUGAGGAGCGAAAGCAUGGGGAGCGAACAGG